UACGAAGGGGGCUAGCGUUGUUCGGAAUUAUUGGGCGUAAAGCGCGCGCAGGCGGCCUUUUAAGUCUGAUGUGAAAGCCCACGGCUCAACCGUGGAAGGUCAUUGGAAACUGCAAGGCUUGAGUACAGAAGAGGAAAGCGGAAUUCCACGUGUAGCGGUGAAAUGCGUAGAGAUGUGGAGGAACACCAGUGGCGAAGGCGGCUUUCUGGUCUGUAACUGACGCUGAGGCGCGAAAGCGUGGGGAGCAAACAGG
rnacentral:rRNA from 1 species